UACGUAGGGUGCGAGCGUUGUCCGGAAUUAUUGGGCGUAAAGGGCUCGUAGGCGGUUUGUCGCGUCGGGAGUGAAAACCCAGGGCUUAACCCUGGGCUGGCUUCCGAUACGGGCAGACUAGAGGUAUGCAGGGGAGAACGGAAUUCCUGGUGUAGCGGUGAAAUGCGCAGAUAUCAGGAGGAACACCGAUGGCGAAGGCAGGUCUCUGGGCCAUAACUGACAGCUGAGAAGCGAAAGCAUGGGGAGCGAACAGG
rnacentral:rRNA from 1 species